ensembl:lncRNA
UUCAGCACUCCCAAAGUACCUGUGUUUAAAACAAUCACCUUCAAACACUCACUGGUAAAUCAAGUCACAGUCAUGAACACCGUUUUAAGACCAUGAAACAGUCACAUAAAAGCAAAUGGACUUUGACUUAAAAGCAAAGUGUGUGAUUCAGAGAGCAUAUAUUUGGCUCCUUGUGCACGUGACAAUUGCGGACAAAAACAGAAACUUCCAGCUAAAUGCAUCGUAAUGGAGAGAGAUUGGGAAUAAGGAAUGUAGAAGCCGAAAUGUUUUUGUGGUUACUUAACAGACAGGAAGGCAAUGUCAAUUAUUUCGACGUCAAGCACAUCAUACUGUAUGACUACAUGCUUUAAAAGAAGCCAACAAGCAAACAAACAACGACUGAAACUAGAACAAAUGAGACGGAAGAACAGGUGUAAUGUUUUAUGAAGGCUAACUUUCCUCUCAACAACAUAUCAAAUAUAUAUGUUGGUUGUAUAUGUUAGUUUGUAUUCUAUUCGCUGUAGUGUUACAGGUUUAUGUACAAAGACAAUCACCCAUGCAUAUAAACAAUAACAUGCAAAACAUUUCUUCAGCUCUUUUGUCGCUUAUGUACUCAUUUUGUACUUUAAUUUUAGAAUUGUGUUCUAUGAAUAUUGUUGGCUCCUACGACAAAUUGCUUGUGAUUUUCCUUAUUUGUAAAUUGCUAUAAAAUCAUCUGCUGGAUUAAUAAAUGUACAAUAUGUCAGAUUAAAUCUUUUUUUUUUUUUUUCAUUAAAAAAGCACAUUCGGAUUGACCACAUUCCUUUAGCAGAGAGAUGGACGGAUAUGCAAACACCUCAUGGAUUGUGCAAGAUAGUAGACUGUAGGAUUUGUGAUGUGUUAAUAUGAUACCUGUACAACAAUUUCCAGAAAAUAAAAAACCCAUAAUCUGGGGAAAACUCAAAAGGCUGGCAUGGCUUGAUAAUAUGUGACUUUCAGGACAGAAUGUUUUACCUGCUUUUAUCAACUACACUUUUGUGUAAAAAAUUGCACUCGGGUACAAACUGGAUUGGCUCAAUCUACAACCCGGGUUACAAUAAACUCACCUACAACUACAACUUUAACCCCACAUACAGCUCAGCCUACAACAACCACAACACAGGCUCCAACAAGCCCAAACACAACUUAUACAGUUUUUGUCAGUUUUUCCAGCAGUGAAGACUUUGUGCCUGACCACAACCACACCUACUACAACUACAAGCACACCCAAUACAACAACGACUGCCAACCUUAAUACAACAACAACAACUACAACUCUUCCAUUUAGUAAGGACAUGUUUUUAAAAUAUGCAAAUAGUACAGUACAUAGGUCUUCAAAGUCUAAAGUAUGCUGAAAUGCUUUGCUACAAUUGAUUCUUCAGAAAAGGGAUAAACAUGAAACAGUUUAAUUUCAAUUUCAUUUCAUUUUAAUUAAAAUGAUGACCUUAAAAUAAGACAUUUCCAGAUCGUAACUCGUUACUUCACUUCACUUACUAUGCAUAUUCAAAAUAAACACUAUCUCGUAAGCCAUGCAUUGGAAAAUGUUAAAGGUCUUUUUUUUUAUGCUGGCUGACUCUGGAACAGGCUUUAAUGAGUGAAAGGAUGAAGUAUUUCAAUGCUUAUGAAACCUGUAAAACAACUCAGAAGAAUGACAAAUAGCUAUAGUAUGUUACAUCAGAAACGUUCAGGACAAAACUCGUAGACAAGAUCGUCUGAUAACAUUACAUAUUAACACAAAAACCUGUACUACUACAACAUCACGCUUCUUAGCCAGCUAGACACACAAUUUCAUGCACUUGUAUCAUAAGCUCAAACAACAGAAUUUGUGAUUUAAUGUUGAUUCCAGCAUUUUAUUUUAAUCCUUUUCUUUAAAACAUUUUUUUUAACCAAAAUUAUACAAAUUCUGUUGAUUGACCUUCAUUUUUAUAAAAAAGUUAAUGUUCUACUCUAACUAUGGCGUAUUUUUUUUUAAACAGGUAUUUGUAGUUAUUCUGUGAUGCUAUGUUAUUUUUAUAAGAACUGUUGAAAGAAGGUUUUUUUUUUGUUUUGUUUUUUUUUACCAGUAAAAGCCUUGCGAUGUCUUCCUGCCAGUUUUAAUAAAUACUUAUAUGCAACAUUAUUGACUUGGUUUUUAUUCAUUUGUAAAUGUAUUAAGGUAGUGCUCAUGAUAAUGCAUUUAUAUUAGUAUUUUAGUUUACGGUUAAAAUUAUUCUUUACAGCAUUUUCACUGUUAAAUUAUUACAACAUCAUCUUGGAUUUAGGGGUAUUUACAGGAUUUUAUUGGCAAGUUUUGUUGCCAGGUAAAUACUGUACUUUAGUGAAAUUACAAAAUAUUGCUGUAAAAUAAACUACAAGUUUAAUUCAAUGAUACUAUAAAAAUACUACAAAUUACUGUAUUUCACAUACAGCAAUUAACUGUAAUUCGCUUUGCAGUAAUAUACUGUAAUCCAUUUUACA